rnacentral:lncRNA from 1 species
CCACCUUGAAGCUGUAAGCACCCUGGACACCCAUUCCAGAAGGAUGUUUUUGUCAGGCUGUAGACCAAAUGCUGUUUUGCUGUCUGAAGAGAUCUCAGUAAAGGGACAGUAGUUAAAGAGGAACGAUUACAUUGUAAAAAGUCAUAAAACCUUCCAGUAUUCAGUCUCAGGAGGUAAGUUUAUCAAUUUAAUUGAAUUAAAAUAUU